GACAGAGGCCCCGAGCGUUAGGCGGAAUCACUGGGCUUAAAGCGUGUGUAGGCGGGCCCGUAAGUGUCUUGUGAAAUCCCACGGCUCAACCGUGGAACUGCUGGGCAUACUGCGGGUCUUGGGCCAACUAGGGGCAGCCGGAACAAGCGGUGGAGCGGUGAAAUGCGUAGAUAUCAUUUGGAACGCCAAUGGUGAAAACAGGUAGCUGGGGCUGUACUGACACUGAGACACGAAAGCCAGGGGAGCAAACGGG
rnacentral:rRNA from 1 species